UGGUUGAUCCUGCCGGACCCGACUGCUAUCGGAUUGAGAUUUAGCCAUGCGAGUCGAACGCUUCUUGAGUGCAGGGGGCGUGGCGUACGGCUCAGUAACACGUAGUCAACCUACCCUGGAGACGUGAACAACCCCGGGAAACUGGGAUUAAUUCAUGAUAGGUCAUCUCAUCUGGAAGGAGAGAUGGCUUAAAGGGAAACGCGGGCUUCUUCCGCGACAUUCGCUCCAGGAUGGGACUGCGGCCGAUCAGGCUGUUGGCGGGGUAAUGGCCCACCAAACCUGUUACCGGUACGGGCCUUGAGAGAGGGGGCCCGGAGAUGGACACUGAGAGAAGGGUCCAGGUCCUACGGGGCGCAGCAGGCGCGAAACCUUCGCAAUGCGCGAAAGCGUGACGAGGUUAAUCCGAGUGGUCCCCGCUUAGGGGAUCUUUUGUCGGCUGUAAAAAGGCCGGUGAAUAAGGGGAGGGCAAGUCCGGUGUCAGCCGCCGCGGUAAUACCAGCUCCUCGAGUGGUCGGGGCGAUUAUUGGGCCUAAAGCAUCCGUAGCCCGUUCCGUAGGUCCCCUGUUAAAUCCAACGGCUUAACCGUUGGCAUGCAGAGGAUACCGCGGGACUAGGAGGCGGGAGAGGCGGGCGGUACUCCACGUGUAGGCGUAAAAUCCUUUGAUCCGUGGAAGACCACCAGUGGCGAAGGCGGCCCGCCAGAACGCGCUCGACGGUGAGGGAUGAAAGCUGGGGGAGCGAACCGGAUUAGAUACCCGGGUAGUCCCAGCCGUAAACGAUGCGAGCUAGAUGAUCCAAUCGCAAAUCGCGAUUGGAGUGUCGCAGGGAAGCCGUUAAGCUCGCCGCCUGGGGAGUACGGUCGCAAGACUGAAACUUAAGGAAUUGGCGGGGGAGCACCACAGGGGUGAAGCCUGCGGUUCAUUGGACUCACGCCGGU
rnacentral:rRNA from 1 species